CUUGGCUAAACAGCCUGGAGAGUAAGGGGAAUACCAAUCAUGAAGGUUUAACCAAGCCUGUUCUCUUAAGGUCUGCUCUGAAAUGGCAAAAGGAUUCAUCAUUAGGGUGGCUCCUGGCAACGGCAAGAAGAAAAGGAGCAAAGACACUCAUCCCACAAGGCUGGGUGACCAGAAGAAAGGGCAAAAUGAAUAAGGUUGAACAAAGGGAAACUGUUCCAAAUAUUGCAACAAUAGAGUUGACAGAUGAUGAUGAAUCCACAAUAUAAAGCAGAA